GCUCGGGACCACGGUCUCGGGAGGAAAGUCCGGGCCACGUAGAGCAUCACGCUUCCUAACGGGAAGGCGUCGAGAGGCGCUCGAUGCGUAACAGAGAAUAACCGCCUGCCUGUGCAGGUAAGGGUGAAAAGGUGAGGUAAGAGCUCACCGAGCCGUCGGUGACGAGGGCUGCCGUACGCAGACGUGAGGGGAAAAAUCAUGUAUACCGGCGACUGAGGGUUGCUCGCCCGAUGCCGGGGGGUAGAUCGAUAGAGGAGUCGGGUGACCGGCUCCCUAGAUUAAUGACAGGGAGGAUGGCCUUGCCAUCUCGACAGAACCCGGCUUACCAUCCU
rnacentral:RNase_P_RNA from 1 species